UCUUCCAGCAUCACAUGGCCCUCUACUUUGCAGAAUCAGUUCAACUAAAACCCACUGCCUGCUGUUUCUCCUACAUCUCACGGAAAGUCCCACUCCAUUUUGUGAAAGACUAUUAUAGAACCUACGACCAGUGCCCCAGCCCAGGGAUUGUCCUCCAUACCCGAAAGGGGCGACAGGUCUGCACCAAUCCCAACGAUGCCUGGGUGCAGGAGUACAUCAGAUACCUAGACAACAGCAAGGGGGCCAGCAUGGCCCAGGGAGUUUAAGGAGAGGCACAGAGCCCUCUUCCUUCCUCCCCAACUUUCUCAACCAGAUGAUCCCUGGGAGUUGUCCUGGCCCAAACUGAAGCUCUUUCUUGCUCUUCCAUGCUCCCAUUCUCUGAUGAAUCCCACCGUUUCCUGAAGCUUCUCUUUGACAUCGCCCUCUGGGACCUGAUGACACUGUGGUCCCAAGAGAGCAUCUGUCUUCCCUUUGCAGGCAGCCAGCUGUUGAAAUAAAAGCGUACAACAGAAAAGAAA